GACGCUCUGCAGUGUUCGAGCCUCCGUUAAAACGCUCUUUUCCUAUGAGUCUAUUACGGGAUUUGCGAAAUGCGCGGGAACGCCGGGCCGCCUCGGGCGGAUGGCGCGAGCGCGCGAAUGCGAAGCCCACCUUGCUGUAAAUGGUGCAAGAGAUUUAGCUGGAGACGGCACAGGCGGAGCUUUU
rnacentral:sRNA from 1 species